UACGUAGGGUGCAAGCGUUGUCCGGAAUCAUUGGGCGUAAAGCGCGUGUAGGCGGCCCGGUAAGUCCGCUGUGAAAGUCCAGGGCUCAACCCUGGGAUGCCGGUGGAUACUGUCGGGCUCGAGUCCGGAAGGGGCGAGUGGAAUUCCUGGUGUAGCGGUGAAAUGCGCAGAUAUCAGGAGGAACACCAAUGGCGAAGGCAGCUCGCUGGGACGUGACUGACGCUGAGACGCGAAAGCGUGGGGAGCAAACAGG
rnacentral:rRNA from 1 species